rnacentral:rRNA from 1 species
AGGAUGAACGCUGGCGGCGUGCCUAAAACAUGCAAGUCGAGCGGUAAGGCCCUUUCGGGGGUACACGAGCGGCGGACGGGUGAGUAACACGUGGGAAUCUACCCCAAACUGAGGGAUAAGCAUCGGAAACGAUGUCUAAUACCGCAUAUGGUCUUCGGAUUAAAGCUUCGGCGGUUUGGGAAGAGCCCGCGUAAGAUUAGCUAGUUGGUGAGGUAAAGGCUCACCAAGGCGACGAUCUUUAGCUGGUUUGAGAGGAUGAUCAGCCACACUGGAACUGAGACACGGUCCAGACUCCUAGGGAGGCAGCAGUUAGGAAUUUUCCACAAU